UACGUAGGGUGCAAGCGUUAAUCGGAAUUACUGGGCGUAAAGCGUGCGCAGGCGGUUUUGUAAGUCUGAUGUGAAAUCCCCGGGCUCAACCUGGGAAUUGCGAUGGAGACUGCAAGGCUUGAAUCUGGCAGAGGGGGGUAGAAUUCCACGUGUAGCAGUGAAAUGCGUAGAGAUGUGGAGGAACACCGAUGGCGAAGGCAGCCCCCUGGGUCAAGAUUGACGCUCAUGCACGAAAGCGUGGGGAGCAAACAGG
rnacentral:rRNA from 1 species